GCGACAGAGGGUCGAAAGCACAUGGAUAACAUCAGCUAUGGUUUGUUCUUGCUGUGUGGUCGGCUGCAAGGUUCGAUCGCCCGACCGGCAAGAGAAUAAGCUUGAAAAUGGUUUAGCUUUUCAUUCUUUCCCAACCUGGAAGCAACACGAGGCAGCUCGUGUAAUGGAUGUUACUGCGUCUAGCCUGGAUAGCAGCUGUGAGACGAGCUGAUAUCCAGUUCUCUUCCAUCUCCAAAUAUCUGUUGGUGUACUACAGACAUUUUCAUUCCACUGAGUAACAGGAGAAGAGUCUGGUGGAGCAACAGAGGAACAAUUUCAGCCAUUUGGACUCAGCUCAGCCACUACAGAGGAAACAAUGACUUCAACACAAAAGGACCAACAUGGAGCGAGAAGUCAGCGCUCUCAGGAGGCCGACAAACCUCACAGAAGAAAGGGA